rnacentral:tmRNA from 1 species
UGAACGGGCCGGGUGAGGCUCAUCGAUCUUAAAGCAGCAAACGCCCGGCUAAACUUGUAGAUGCCUUCGUGAAAGGUCUUCAGGACAGGGGUUCGACUCCCCUCGCCUCCACUU